AUGCUCGCUUUGGCAGCACUUGUAGUAAAAUUGAAACGAUUUUGGGAGAUGAUUAGCAUGGUCCCUGUGCAAGGGUGAUGUGCAAAUCAUGAAGCAUUCCAUAUUUAA
rnacentral:snRNA from 1 species